CCGCCGGGACCCGUAGCAAGCCUGACAUAAAAUCUGUGAACCUGUAUAAUCCCAUACAUGAUCAACAACAUGCAUAAAAAUUAAAACUUUUCUUUCCAUGAACAUCAACCAAACUCAACCUGUGCAUAACAUUAAUAUAAACAUAACUUUGAUCCCUCUGUGGGAUCUCAUCUGUGCCCUCAAAGGGUAACAUAACCUGUGUUGAGCUGGUUUACAUAAACAUCAUAACAUAAGAUCAUGUACAUACAAAAGGGAUUAACAAUAUACUAUGGUCAAGCACAACUCUAUCCUCAAUAACCUCAUUACAUAACAUACUGAAUAGUUUUACAAUUCAUCAUAAUACAAUUGUCAUGUCCACAAUCUAGCUAUUACAUGCAUAUGACUUUCUUUUUCUCUUCUUGCCUUCUCUAUCUAUCCCGUACCUGCAAACCUGGGGGUUAGGGGAGAGGGGUGAGCUAGAUGCCCAGUGAGUAGAACUAUAAAAAGAAUAUUUAAAACAUGCCAUCAUGAAAUGCGUCACUGCGCAAACAAAUCACAUCAUGGACGGACUGACCCAAAAAUCCCUCAGCUCCAUGCCCGGCCCUAUUAUGGGCACCACAGGACUUCGUAUUGCCCGGCCUUAUUAUGGGCACCACAGGACUUCGUACAAAGGGCUAGUGAGUCGUGCAAUGUCCAUCCCCCAUCAACAUCAAAUAAUAAUGCAAUGCAACAUAAUUCGUGAUUCUAAUGCAACCAACCUAUAAUAUAAUCAUGAUGCAUGAAGCAUGAUAAAAACAUUUAAUUUAAAAGGUUAAGUAUAGUCCCACUCACCUCUGGCUGACUCUGACAAACUCUGUAGCAGCUGGCUCACUGCUGGGGUCCUUGGUUCCUCGGGUCCGAACCUACACAGGUGGACUCCAAUGAGGGACCAAACAUAUAUAAACAUGACUCUAAUAUAUCCCCCAAAAACCCCCUAAAACAUCAUGAAAACAUCACAGAAAAUGUGCAUGAAAUGGCUCAACAGGGCACUUUCGGCGGCACCUUCGGCGGCCGAAAGUCCUGGACAGAGACGAAACUCAGCUAGGUUCGGCGGCACCUUCGGCGGCCGAAAGUGCCAGACAGAGACGAAAGUCUCUCUUCGGGGGCAACUUCGGCAGCCGAAAGGCCUGCCUCCCCAGCCAUGUUCGGCGGCCGAAAGUACCUUCGGCUGCCGAACCUGGUUUCUGCCAAAGGGCGGAAACUUGGCUCCCUUUGCCCAUUUCGCCUCCAAACCUACCAAUCAUGCAUAUUUUUCAACCCCAAGCAUGCAUACAAGUUCCUAGGGGUCUCAAGCAGUCAUAUACCCCAACUACAACACUUCAAACACACACAAACAACACACAUUGUUCAUAACAUCAACAUUAACCCAUAAACUCAACAUAUACCCUAACAUGCAUUUCUACCCAUAGAUCUUGCAUAAAACUUGUUUAAAACAUAAAAAGACUUCAAGAUCGACCCUUACCUCUUGAAGAUCGAGAGUAGAGGCGACCUAACUUGGAGUUGGGAGAAAUUCGGCUCCUUGGGUCUCCAAGCUCAAAACUUGCUCAAAACUU
rnacentral:lncRNA from 1 species